GGGGCUGAACGGUUUCGACUGCGUGCGUCGAGAUGGGGGAAGCGUGUCGGUGCAGGCUGGAGACCACCGUAUGAGCGUCGCAGCAACCAAUUAAGCGCCGAUAAGAAUCAGCGCGACUACGCCCUCGCUGCCUAAGCAGCCAGGCUAGUCUGUCGGCCCGGACGUGCUCUCAGUCCGGUCCCCGGCAUCAUCUUCGAGAGCUCACCGUCCUCGCCGGUCGCGGGGGAGGACGGGACAAUCAACAGCGACUGGGAUCGUCAUCUCGGCUUGUUCGCGUGACUGAGAGAUCCGAGUAGAGGCGCAGCGAACUGCACACGGAGAAGCCCCAUCAACACGACGAAGGACCCGGGUUCGAUUCCCGGCAGCUCCACCG
rfam:Gordonia effusa NBRC 100432 DNA, contig: GOEFS059.